rnacentral:rRNA from 1 species
AGUGAACGCUGGCGGUAGGCCUAACACAUGCAAGUCGAACGGCAGCACAGUAAGAGCUUGCUCUUACGGGUGGCGAGUGGCGGACGGGUGAGGAAUACAUCGGAAUCUACUUUUUCGUGGGGGAUAACGUAGGGAAACUUACGCUAAUACCGCAUACGACCUACGGGUGAAAGCAGGGGAUCUUCGGACCUUGCGCGAUUGAAUGAGCCGAUGUCGGAUUAGCUAGUUGGCGGGGUAAAGGCCCACCAAGGCGACGAUCCGUAGCUGGUCUGAGAGGAUGAUCAGCCAAAAUGGAACUGAGACACGGUCCAGACUCCUACGGGAGGCAGCAGUGGGGAAUAUUGGACAAUGGGCGCAAGCCUGAUCCAGCCAUACCGCGGGGGUGAAGAAGGCCUUCGGGUGGUAAAGCCCUUUUGUUGGGAAAGAAAAGCAGCAGGUUAAUACCCCGCUGUUCUGACGGUACCAAAAGAAUAAGCACCGGCUAACUUCGU